GGGUGUGAUCAUACCAGCAUUAAUGCACCGGAUCCCAUUGGAACUCCACAAUUAAGUGAGCUUAGGCUAGAAUAGUACUGGAAUGGGUGACCUCCUGGGAAGUCCUAGUGUUGCACCCU
rnacentral:rRNA from 1 species